GUUUACGGUUUGGGUUUAGAGUUUAGGAUUUGGGUUUAAGAUAUAGAGUUUGGGUUUUGGGUUUACGGUUUGGGUUUAGGGUUUAGGAUUUAGGUUUAGGGUUUAGGGUAUAGAUUUAAAGUUUAGGGUUUAGUUAGUGGCGUUAUCAUCAUUAAAAUUGGCGUUAUUAUGUUUUUUUAAUUAUUUCAGAUUUUUUUAAAUAAAAUGAAUCUAUUUUACUAUUAAUUUAUAUGAUAUUGAUUGAUAAUAAGAAAAGAGGUGAAUUUAAUAAUAAUAAUUGAAUUCAAAAAAAAAAAAAAGAAAAAGAAAAGAGGUGAAUUUAAAGGUUUGGUCUUCUUCUAGAAUAUGCUACUCGGAAAAAGUUAUAAGCAAGGACGGAAGUUAUUUAUGGAUCUUUGGGUAAAAAUUUUUUUUUUACAAGUAUAUCUGAACACUUUAAAUUUUUUGGGCUUUCCUAAUUAAUAUUAUUUUUAUUCAAAAAUGUUUGGGCCCUAGGAUCCAUAUCUCGUUGCCCCAUUCUCUAUGUCGUCCUGGUUAUAAGGUAUAU
rnacentral:lncRNA from 1 species